CCGAGUUUACAACUCCCAAACCCCUGUGAACAUACCACUUGUUGCCUCGGCGGAUCAGCCCGCUCCCGGUAAAACGGGACGGCCCGCCAGAGGACCCCUAAACUCUGUUUCUAUACUGUAACUUCUGAGUAAAACCAUAAAUAAAUUA
rnacentral:misc_RNA from 1 species